rnacentral:ncRNA from 2 species
GCACAUUACACGGUCGACCUCUU